rnacentral:rRNA from 1 species
AGCCCUUAACCAAGGCGAUUACGGGUAGCCGGCCUGAGAGGGCGACCGGCCACACUGGGACUGAGACACGGCCCAGACUCCUGCGGGAGGCAGCAGUGGGGAAUAUUGCGCAAUGGGCGAAAGCCUGACGCAGCGACGCCGCGUGGGGGAUGACGGCCUUCGGGUUGUAAACCUCUUUUACCACUCACGCAGGCCCCACGUUUUCGUGGGGUUGACAGUAGGUGGGGAAUAAGGACCGGCUAACUACGUGCCAGCAGCCGCGGUAAUACGUAGGGUCCGAGCGUUGUCCGGAAUUAUUGGGCGUAAAGAGCUCGUAGGCGGCGUGUCGCGUCUGCUGUGAAAGACCGGGGCUUAACCCCGGUUCUGCAGUGGAUACGGGCAUGCUAGAGGUAGGUAGGGGAGACUGGAAUUCCUGGUGUAGCGGUGAAAUGCACAAAUAUCAGGAGGAACACCGGUGGCGAACGCGGGUCUCUGGGCCUUACCUGACCCUGAGGAGCGAAAGCAUGGGGAGCGAACGGGAUUACAUACCCUGGUAGUCCAUGCCGUAAACGUUGGGCGCUAGGUGUGGGGACUUUCCACGGUUUCCGCGCCGUAGCUAACGCAUUAAGCGCCCCGCCUGGGGAGUACGGCCGCAAGGCUAAAACUCAAACGAAUUGACGGGGGCCCGCACGAGCGGCGGAGCAUGUUGCUUAAUUCAACGCAACGCGAAGAACCUUACCAAGGUUUGACAUCACCCGUGGACCUGUAUAGAUACACGGUCAUUUGGUUGGGCGGGUGACAGGGUGGUGCAUGUAUGUCCCCUCAGCCUCCGUAAAGAAUCCGGGGUCCGGUGGAGGAUGUUGGGGUUAGUCCCGCAACGAGCGCAACCCUUGUUCCAUGUUGCCAGCACGUAAUGGUGGGGACUCAUGGGAGACUGCCGGGGUCAACUCGGAGGAAGGUGGGGACGACGUCAAGUCAUCAUGCCCCUUAUGUCUUGGGCUGCAAACAUGCUACAAUGGCCGGUACAAUGGGCGUGCGAUACCGUGAGGUGGAGCGAAUCCCUAAAAGCCGGUCUCAGUUCGGAUUGGGGUCUGCAACUCGACCCCAUGAAGGUGGAGUCGCUAGUAAUCGCGGAUCAGCAACGCCGCGGUGAAUACGUUCCCGGGCCUUGUACACACCGCCCGUCACGUCAUGAAAGUCGGCAACACCCGAAACUUGUGGCCUAACCCUUCGGGGAGGGAGUGAGUGAAGGUGGGGCUGGCGAUUGGGACGAAGUCGUAACAAGGUAGCCGUACCGGAAGGUGCGGCUGGAUCACCUCCAUAA